rnacentral:lncRNA from 1 species
CAACAGCAGCAAAACAUACAUUCUUCUUGAGCACAUACGGAAAAUUCUCCAGGAUUGGUCAUAUAUUAGGCCACAAACAAAUCUUAACAAAUUAAGGAAGACCGAAAUCAUAUCAAAUAUAUUUUCCAACCACAAUAGUAUAAAAGUAGAAAACAGUAACAGGAAGAAAUUCAGAAAUUUCACAAAUACAUGGUAAUUUAACAACAUGCUGCUAAAUAACCAAUCGAUCAAUGGAGAAAUUAAAAGGCAAAUUUUAAAAUAUUGUAAGACAAAUAAAAAUGGAACCACAAUAUACCAAAACUUAUGGGAAGCAGCAAAAUAAGAUGCAAGUUUAUAGCAAUAAAAGCUUACAGGGGAAAAAAAAGAUUUUAAAUAACCUAACAUUAUGCCUGAAGGAACUAGAAAAAAAAACAAACUAGGCCCAAAGUUAGUAGAAGGAGGGAAAUAAUAAAGAUCAGAGCAGAAUAAUAAAAUAGUGACUAGAAAAACAAUAGAAAAUAUUAAUACGACUAAGAGUUGUUUGUUUGUUUGUUUUGAGAUGGAGUCUCGCUACAGGUGCAUGCCACCACGCCUGGCUAAUUUUUGUAUUUUUAGUGGAGACAGGGUUUCACCAUAUUGAUCAGACUGGUCUCGAACUCCUGACCUCGUGAUCCGCCCACCUCAGCCUCCCAAAGUGCUGGGAUUACAGGCGUAAGCCACUGCGCCCA